rnacentral:lncRNA from 1 species
UUCUCCACAUAAAAUGAUCCAGUAUAUCGUUCUUCUACCAAACAACCUUUCACUUCCUUCCAUCUUCUCUUAUCUCUCUCCCGGUUUUGAUCGGCUUAAGAGCGGAGCUGCUGUCCCACCGUUUUUGCUUCAUUCAAUAUCAGUGUCACGAGUUCAAUAUCAAUCUCAGGAGAGAAGCAUGGUCACACACAGAAAGAGGACUUUUUUUCGGAACUGAUUCACCUCUAAUCGUGUUUCUUCCAGGUGAUUGUUGUCGGAGAUGAUGAAAAACAUAGGUAGAAACAUGCCGCCUUUUGUAUUCCUCAAAUUUCCCUCUGGAGUUUUUAACCUCGAUUUAAGGCUCACCGUUUCUCACUUGGUAGAAGUUUUCUUCAAUCAAUGAUCCCCACCCAUUCUCUGCGAUUUUGUUAUCCCCGACCAUCGAUUUUAGAUUUGGGAGAAACCGUAGAUGUUAUCGUCGAGGUUCUGAAAGAGUGAAUCCUCGAUUUAACGUUUUUCGUCCUCUUACGUGAUGAGGUCGACGCCUACUACAACGAAGGCUGGUCGGAGGGAAUUAUCGCCGUCAUCAUACCCGGGAACUGAUAGUCGAUUUCGGUGAAAUCCCAGAUGUUCAGAUUUCCUCCGGAAAUGCUUAGACUAUCUCUACUCUUCACCAACUCAAAACUUCUUCAUCUUACAGCAAGUUUUCUCUAGAUUCCCAUUCUACUUUCACAAUUUGUACACCAAAUAAACUUUUCCUAUUUCUUUUAAGGAUGUUUACCCUUUUUCUUUAUUUUUAUCUUUGUUCCUGCAGGGAAUUUGAUCACUUGCCUCCAUCAUAACCCAAGAAAAAGAUUCAGUUAUACCCCAACCACUUCAUAUUGACAUUUGAAAUAGGGUCUUACUACGCACCCCAACUGCUCGAUGAAAUGCUUGAACUAGGAUGCCUAGAAAAGAUCAGUUUUUUUCUUCUGGAAAUAUAGAAAAAAAGUAAUUGCUUGAGUUUAGGACAUGUAUUCAUUUUGUGUUAACAUUUUUUGCUUGGUUUUAAUUUUAUCUGAUUAUAACAUUUACUAUUUAGUAAUCAGUUUUCAUCAUCAACAUUUGUAUGUUUUUUUUUUUGUAAAAUUGUUGGUUAUACACUUAUGUUUAACCAUCUUUGCUCCUCCAUGGGAAACAGCUGAUUUCUAUUCAGAGAGAUACAGCGAGUUGUUCCCUCUUUACAAGGUUUUGCUUUAACUGCUUCAACUUAUCAUUGAAGGUUAUUCGGUUAUUAUGUUUUUUGUUUAAUUUUAAGGAUUAGAUUGUGGAUGCUUUAGGUCAAUUUCACUUCAUUACAAGUUUUAAUUUUAAUGCAAUUUGGAAAUUUAUGCAGAUGAUGAAGCCAAGUCGACUCUUCAUGGGUAGAUCCAGGUAUGUUUAUCCAUGAUAAAAUUGGAUGUUAUUUUCUGGUAUAUUAGAUACAUUCAUUCCAUUGUAAUGAAAGAGGAAUGUGCAAUUUGGUUUUAUUUUUACUGUAAUCAAUUCAUUUAUAAAUUUGAAGAUUAAGACUUUUGACUUGGAGAAGAGAAUAGUCAAAAUGGAUUGAGAGAAGUUUAAACAUGUUUGAGAGGAAAGGGUAUAGCUAGAAAGUUUAAGGUGGGCAGAUGGUUAAAGAGUUUGAGAGGUAUGGGCAUAAUUGGGCAGUUGAAGGCUAGGUUGAAGGUAAGCAGAAAUUCAAGAGUUGGUGUACAUUAAAGUCUAAAAAGAAAUAUUAUCAUGCUCUGUAUGACCUUUUAAUAUAAUGCAAGAAAGUAUGAAUUUCAUAUAUAUAUAAUGAACAACAUGUAUACAAAAGAACCAUAAAUUCGAAACAAACAUGUCUGAAAAAACCACAUGGGUCCUUUUCCUAGUUCGUAUUCAAAACACAUGAGUCAUUUCAAACCGGUUGAAAACGUAUCAUAAC